ensembl:snoRNA SNORA70 Small nucleolar RNA SNORA70
UUGCAGCCAGUUAAGCCUACUGUGCUCUUUUCUCCAUGGGGGCCUGGUGUGCGGCUGCAAACAGUGGCCUCCUCGGUAGCAUAUGCAGCCUGUUGCCUGUACCGCUUGCCCCAAGGGAACUUGGAGACAGCU